GGCAGUUCUUGGGUGAUGCACCCUGGAACCAGAGAGGAGGGAGCUCAAUUCCGGGGUGCAUCACCUGAGAACUGCC
rfam:Myotis brandtii contig217319, whole genome shotgun sequence.